UUGAAAAUAAACUCAGCACUAAAAGGGUUAAUUGCGGCGUUUCGUAUACCUACUUUACAGACUUUGUGGUCACUGUCGUCCGUAAUAAGCUUGAAAUGAAACGGUAAAGAAAAAUUACUAUGUUGACGAUUCGCGAAAACCAAAGAAAAUACUACACAUACCAUAGUAUAGGGGAAGUCCGGGCAUAGUGGAUAGGCCAGGCAAAGUGAAUAAGCUUUAUUUUUCGUCAACAAAAUGUCGGAACACGCGCACCUUGGGCCAUUACAUUCCCCCGCCCGUCUGCAUUCGCGGUCAAACAGAGCUAGCGGAAGGUUGGGUCGCGAUCGAGAGAAAAAUCGAAAAAACCAAAUAGUGAAGUUUUCUUAUUACUUUUCAAGAUGGUAUAUAAAUACAAGAAUAAAUAUCAACUAAGCCCAUUAGAGUGAGGGCAGUAUGAUGCUUGCGAUAGCAGAUUGUAAUUCUGUCAUUCCAGUGAAAACGACCGCAAAAAAGUAUGGUCUACCUGACGCCACCCUUUAUAGGCAUUGGAAAAAGGUAGUUCGACUGCUCAACUUGGUCGUCUUCGUAAAGUUUUAAACGAUGAACAAGAGGGAGACCUUCGAACGUAUUUAUAUGAUAUAGUGUAUGAUAGUAUUUUUUAUAGGUUGACCCGAGAAGAAUUAAAAAAUAUUAGGUUUUGAAUACGCGAAACGCAAUGAUGUUACUUGUCCGCCUAGUUGGGACAAAAAUAAAUAAGCUGGUGAUGAUUGGCUAGCAGGAUUUAUGAGAAGAAAUCCACAAAUUAAACUAUGAAUUCCAUGAGGAACAGUUGGCAGAGUUACAGGCUUUUAUCGUCCUCAAGCAGAAAGGUUCUAUAAACCGUCAAGUGAACAAAUUGAGAAGUGUCAAAUCGAUGGUACCAGAAUCUAUAAUAUAGAUGAAACUGGCACUUAGGCCUCGACAAAUAAACCACCCAAGGUUCAGUUAAAGGUAAGAAGCAGGUUGGAGUCAUUUCCAGCACUGAACGUGGACAAACUACGACAGUGCUUCUGGAUCAUUCGUUCCGAUGCCACACGUUUCUGUGGGUACACGUAAAAAAAGGUUCAAAAAUCUAAGGUGUUAACAAGUACGACAGUGAAGCGAGAACAAAAAGAAAAAUUAAAAAGCAAUGAAAAUUAUGAAAAUAGAUUUAAAUGCUAAACCAAAGACUGCGACAAAAAAAAAAUUAAAACGACGAAAAAUAUAAUUGUAAGAGUCACGAUAAAUGCACAGCUUAUGAAGAAAUAUGCUUAUUUCUUUGUGUUAACUUUGUUCAGUAUUUGUGUUCACUUUGCCCUAUAGGGUAAAACCUGGAUAGAUGCCGCAGCGGGAUAGAUGCCUCAUGUUCUAAAAACCUAACUUCCCGCACUCAUAACAAAAAAAUUAUUGAAGAAGUAGGAACCACAGUCACCAUAUACCUUAUAUACCAUUUGAGAAUCGCGUGGUGACGAAGUGUUUUCCUCGUGCAUGUAAUUUUCUCCGCGCGGAAUUUCACGAACACGUCAAAGAUUUAAAGGUUAAUAUUUAGCGUGGUAUAACUUUAUAAUUAGUGUAAAAUUCCAUUAUAUUUUUUACUACGUGAAUAUAUUGGUUCAUUGAGUCUGCAUCUAGGUGUAAAUAAAUGCUAUUAUGUUUAUAAUUUAUUUACAAAAAAUUUGGGUAUCUAUCCUUAUCAAAAAGGAUAGUUGCCCUGAUUUUUUGGGGUAUAGGUGCCUUUAGGGGCAUCUAUCCCUCUAUACUCUGCCAUUUCAGAAUAUAGCUGAAAUAUGGCUCGAAAACAUAAAACACAAAUAAAAUAAUAAUAAUAAAUGAUUUACAGUUCAAGCAGCGAAUAUGAAGACAAUCCACUUAACUAUAAAAUGAAAGGAAAUAAAACAAUAGAUUUGCCCCUAAAGAAAUCUAAGGGAUAAACCUAAAACGCAUGUAAAUAUAUCUGCAUUGAAUGUUUUGAAAACUAUAAAAAUACGAAGUCGCAAUCCGAAAAUUGAAAGCACUAUCCAGUUAAACUUCAAUUUGACAAAAUAAUAAAGAUAUCUUUAUUGUGUUAAUUUAAUUAAAAAAAUAUGAUUUUGCAAUGUACACAUUGACACUUAAUGUGAAUAUUUUAUAAACAAUUAAGAAGUUAUAUUUUUGUUAAAUAAAUAUUUGUAAAAUUUAAUUUAAUAAAAAAAUAGGAUAAUGCAUGUUGAAACUAAAAAAAUUGUAGUUUAGCUUACGCUUACUUAACGCUUUAAAAAUUUAAUUAUGAUCAUUUGUGUGAUAUGAGAAUUAUCUUUUAAUUAUAAACAUUGAAAGACUUAAAAAAUACAAAAUAUUUUUUAUUAUUAUGACCCAUGUUUCUUGGAGACAAUUGCUCUGUUAGGAAUAGAACUUCUUAAUAUUUGGAUUGGUUUUUUCGUUUACACGGUAUAAAGGGCAUCUAUCCUGCACUGCAGGCAUCUAUCCUACUCAGUAUUUUCUUGGUGGGGCAACUAUCCAUACAGGUAGGCAUCUAUCCUCCAAAAAAAGGUUCUACGAAAAACGAGUUUCUGCAAAAUCUGUAUUUGAUAGGUUUAAAAAAAUUAAUACUAAUUAAACAUAAAGGAUUGAGCUAACUAUAUUAAUGGAAAUUAUUCGUAUAAAAUUAAUAUUUUCAAAAUUACAUGACUAUUUCAAAAAGUGGGGCAUCUAUCUCGGCUUUACCCUAGUCCUAUCCACUUUACCCGACCUAUAGGGCAAAGUGGAUACUGGUAUAUGUUGCAACAUUAUUGACAAUUAAAAUUAAAGAACUGCUAUUAAGCAAUUUUUGUUGAUUAUAUUACAAACUUUAAUAAAUGUUGAUACUCAUUGAA